AGUGUGGGUGCCCUAGAGUCACAGCAAGCCUGGACAGGCCGCUUCAACCACAUGGGUAAUGGAGGAAAGACACGUGGCUAAGGACCAUCCCUCAACAACGGAUCCUUCUGAAGCUGAGCACUUAUGGGACCACAUUGCUAGAGUGGAGUGUGACUGUUGCUGAUGGAACUGUGGCACCAAUGUCCACCUGAUGGGGAAUACUGAAUACAGCUUGGUCUUGACUCUUUUUGGUUGUGAUCCUAUUUUUCAAGCUUCUCAGGUCUAGGAAGAUGAGUACCUGGGGUUCAUUAAGGAAACAUCUAACAAGGAAAACUCCACAAGAGGUUACUAGGCUGCUGAGUAGGCUUAGAAUCUCUCAGCAACACACUCAGCAAAAUUAAAGCUGUUGAAUCUA